rnacentral:rRNA from 1 species
GACGAACGCUGGCGGCGUGCUUAACACAUGCAAGUCGAACGGAAAGGCCCUGCUUUUGUGGGGUGCUCGAGUGGCGAACGGGUGAGUAACACGUGAGUAACCUGCCCUUGACUUUGGGAUAACUUCAGGAAACUGGGGCUAAUACCGGAUAGGAGCUCCUGCUGCAUGGUGGGGGUUGGACAGUUUCGGCGGUUGGGGAUGGACUCGCGGCUUAUCAGCUUGUUGGUGGGGUAGUGGCUUACCAAGGCUUUGACGGGUAGCCGGCCUGAGAGGGUGACCGGCCACAUUGGGACUGAGAUACGGCCCAGACUCCUACGGGAGGCAGCAGUGGGGAAUAUUGCACAAUGGGCGGAAGCCUGAUGCAGCAACGCCGCGUGCGGGAUGACGGCCUUCGGGUUGUAAACCGCUUUCGCCUGUGACGAAGCGUGAGUGACGGUAAUGUGUAAAGAAGCACCGGCUAACUACGUG